UUCGUAGGCGGUGUGGCAAGUUGGGUGUGAAAUCUCUGGGCUCAACCCAGAGACUGCUUCCAAAACUGCUGUGCUUGAGUGUGAGAGAGGCUCGUGGAAUUGCAGGUGUAGCGGUGAAAUGCGUAGAUAUCUGCAGGAACACCCGUGGCGAAAGCGGCGAGCUGGAUCACUACUGACGCUGAGGAACGAAAGCUAGGGGAGCAAACA
rnacentral:rRNA from 1 species